rnacentral:ncRNA from 2 species
AUUUUUUGCUAGGGGUGCCUUUUGGCUGAGAGGAAUUGAUAUUCUAACUCUAAGAACCUGACGUGGUUAGUACCACCGUAGGGAAGCAGAUUUAUCAGUGU